rnacentral:rRNA from 1 species
UACGUAGGUGGCAAGCGUUGUCCGGAUUUACUGGGUGUAAAGGGUGCGCAGGCGGGACAGUAAGUUGGGUGUGAAAUGCCGGGGCUCAACCCCGGACCUGCAUCCAAAACUGCAGUUCUUGAGUGAAGUAGAGGUAGGCGGAAUUCCGAGUGUAGCGGUGAAAUGCGUAGAUAUUCGGAGGAACACCAGUGGCGAAGGCGGCCUACUGGGCUUUAACUGACGCUGAGGCACGAAAGCAUGGGGAGCAAACAGGAUUAGAUACCCUGGUAGUCCAUGCCGUAAACGAUGAUUGCUAGGUGUGGGGGGACUGACCCCUUCCGUGCCGGAGUUAACACAAUAAGCAAUCCACCUGGGGAGUACGACCGCAAGGUUGAA